rfam:Ciona savignyi cont_32190, whole genome shotgun sequence.
GCCUCGAUAGCUCAGUCGGGAGAGCGUUAGACUGAAGAUCUAAAGGUCCCUGGCUCAAUCCCGGGUCGAGGCA